rnacentral:rRNA from 1 species
GACGAACGCUGGCGGCGCGCUUAACACAUGCAAGUCGAACGGAAAGGCCUGCUUUCCCUUGUGGAUUGCGGGUACUCGAGUGGCGAACGGGUGAGUAACACGUGAGUGAUCUGCCCCCAACUUGGGUAUAAGCCUGGGAAACUGGGUCUAAUUCCCGAUAGGACUGCAGGGUGGUGCCUGUGGUGGAAAACGAUUUUCUAGUGGUUGGGGAUGAGCUCGCGGCCUAUCAGCUUGUUGGUGGGGUAAUGGCCUACCAAGGCGGCGACGGGUAGCCGGCCUGAGAGGGUGGACGGCCACAUUGGGACUGAGAUACGGCCCAGACUCCUACGGGAGGCAGCAGUGGGGAAUAUUGCACAAUGGGCGGAAGCCUGAUGCAGCGACGCCGCGGGGGGGAUGACGGCCUUCGGGUUGUAAACUCCUUUCGACCGCGAGGAAGCCACCUGGUUGGAAGGGUGGUGACGGUAGUGGGAGAAGAAGCACCGGCUAACUACGUG